ACUCCGUACGGGAGGCAGCAGGUGGGGAAUAUUGCACAAUGGGCGCAAGCCUGAUGCAGCCAUGCCGCGUGUAUGAAGAAGGCCUUCGGGUUGUAAAGUACUUUCAGCAGUGAGGAAGGUGGGUAUGUUAAUAGCAUAUUCAUUUGACGUUAGCUGCAGAAGAAGCACCGGCUAACUCCGUGCCAGCAGCCGCGGUAAUACGGAGGGUGCGAGCGUUAAUCGGAAUUACUGGGCGUAAAGCGCAUGCAGGUGGUUUGUUAAGUCAGAUGUGAAAGCCCGGGGCUCAAACCUCGGAAUUGCAUUUGAAACUGGCAAAACUAGAGUACUGUAGAGGGGGGGUAGAAUUUCAGGUGUAGCGGUGAAAUGCGUAGAGAUCUGAAGGAAUACCGGUGGCGAAAGGCGGCCCCCCGUGGACAGAUACUGACACUCAGAUGCGAAAGCGUGGGGAGCAAACAGGAUUAGAUACCCUGUAGGCUCUGC
rnacentral:rRNA from 1 species